CAUUUUCUACACAGAAGACACCGCGAAAAAGCGGUCAGAAGAUUUGAAAGAAGUGACAGGUUUGGAGAUUAAACUAAAUGAUGGUCUAUCUCAAAAGAUGUGUACAAAAUGCAUAGAUACAUUUAAUUUGGCGCUACAAUUCAGGAUUAAA